rnacentral:rRNA from 1 species
CCCUUAGAUGUUCUGGGCCGCACGCGCGCUACACUGAUGGAUUCAACGAGUGUUGUUCUUCGGAGCAGAUCCUUGGUCGGAAGGCCUGGGCAAUCUUGUAAAUGUCCAUCGUGAUGGGGCUAGAUUUUUGCAAUUCUGAAUCUCCAACGAGGAAUUCCUAGUAAACGCAAGUCAUCAGCUUGCAUUGAUUACGUCCCUGCCCUUUGUACACACCGCCCGUCGCACCUACCGAUUGAGUGGUCCGGUGAGGCUUUGGGAUCUGAGCGGAAAGAGCGUUUCGCUGUUUCUGCCCGGAAAACUCAGUCGAACCUUAUCAUUUAGAGGAAGGAGAAGUCGUAACA